rnacentral:rRNA from 1 species
CCUACGGGUGGCAGCAGUAGAGAAUAUUUCUCAAUGGGGGAAACCCUGAAGCAGCGACGCCGCGUGGAGGAUUAAGGUUUUCGGAUUGUUAACUCCUUUUGUUAGAGGAGAUAAUGACGGUAUCUAACGAAUAAGCACCGGCUAACUCCGUGCCAGCAGCCGCAGUAAUACGGAGGGUGCAAGCGUUACUCGGAAUCACUGGGCGUAAAGAGCGAGUAGGCGGGAUAGCAAUUCAUAUGUGAAAUGCUAUGGCUUAACCAGAGAACUGCAUUUGAAACUGUUAUUCUAGAGUAUGGGAGAGGUAGGCGGAAUUCUUGGUGGAGGAGUAAAAUCCGUAGAGAUCAAGAGGAAUACUCAUUGCGAAGGCGACCUCCUAGAACAUAACUGACGCUGAUGCGCGAAGGCGUGGGGAGCGAAAGGGAUUAGAUACCCGUGUAGUC